UACAGAGGUCUCAACCGUUGUUCGGAUUCAUUGGGCGUAAAGGGUGCGUAGGCGGUCGGGUAAGUCGGAUGUGAAAUCUCAGGGCUCAACCCUGAAACUGCAUUCGAUACUGCUUGGCUAGGGUACUGGAGAGGAGACUGGAAUUUACGGUGUAGCAGUGAAAUGCGUAGAUAUCGUAAGGAAGACCAGUGGCGAAGGCGAGUCUCUGGACAGUUACCGACGGUGAGGCACGAAGGUCAGGGGAGCAAACGGG
rnacentral:rRNA from 1 species